ACGACAUUCAACUUCCGUACUGUUUACACACGCACCCAACACAUGUGUGUAUAGUGAGUGUACUUUCGGCUUGAUGUAUAAUGAUAACAGUGCAUGCUGGGAUUGCUACAAGAUACCAGACCCACCCACACGUCAGUACACCACAAGGAAGUCGAUACUCCGAUUUCUCCUACUACAGCAAAGAAACAUUUUCAUGACAACACGAAGACUGACGACCAGGCAAUACAACACCAGGUGAAGAAAAACCUUCGUACAAAUGUUUAUUAUGCUGUCGACAAUGUAACGCCCCCAGACAACUGUCGUCGUGUUUUCAUAUAUUUUGUACGGACUGUCUGGACACUUACGUCCGGUCAGACCAUGUAAUUACAGACAACAGGACAUACGUACCAUGCCCUGUGUGUGACGAACCGUGCUCGACUCCCGAUCCCAAGACUCCAGUCAGUUAUUGGGCUUCCUCGUUUCCGCUUCACCCGUUGUUCCAAACCCCAAAUUAUAUUGAGACAGGAACCGGGGAGACAUUUUGCGAAGGGUGUCUGAGAGAUGAUGAAAAAAACCACAGCUGAAUUCUGGUGUGAUGUUUGUAUUGAAGACAUGUGUAAGCAACGCAGGGUGAUGCACAGAAAAAUAAAAUCCUUUCCAAACAUACAGUGAUUGAAAUAAGUGCCAUUAAGAAAGUUGGAUCAGACAAACCUGAACAAAUUCCCACUGCGUGUCCCAAGCACCCGGGAAAGGAAUUGGACACUUACUGCCUCGACCACAAUGUACUCUGUUGUAUGAUGUGUGUGACAUUGGCACACAGAGCUUGUCCGAACUUGAAUCUUCUCGAUGACGUGGCAAAUGGUCCAAUGGUCGAUAGAGGUUUGGUCGAGAGUGAGUUAAACAAGGUGAAACAGGAAACAAAAAUCAUCGUUGAUGAGGACAACCUCUCAUUGAUUGCGCUCGACUCUGAACAUCAGACGAUGACUAAUCGCAUGACCGCAAUAAUAAAGAAAGCAAAAAAUAAACUCGAUUUUCUGCACGGUCGUUUCCAAAGCAGCCUUGAUGACACCUACAACCGU